GAUGAACGCUAGCGGCAGGCCUAAUACAUGCAAGUCGAACGGUAACAUGAGUAGCAAUACUUGAUGACGAGUGGCGCACGGGUGCGUAACGCGUAUGUAAUCUACCUUCAACUGGUGAAUAGCCCGAAGAAAUUCGGAUUAAUACACCAUAGUAUAUUUGAGUGGCAUCACUUAAAUAUUAAAACUCCGGUGGUUGAAGAUGAGCAUGCGUGACAUUAGCUAGUUGGCGGGGUAAUGGCCCACCAAGGCUAAGACGGUUAGCUGGUCUGAGAGGAUGAUCAGCCACACUGGCACUGGAACACGGGCCAGACUCCUACGGGAGGCAGCAGUGGGGAAUAUUGGACAAUGGGGGCAACCCUGAUCCAGCCAUGCCGCGUGUGUGAAGAAGGCCUUCGGGUUGUAAAGCACUUUAGGUCGGGAGGAAGGUUCGCUGGCUAAUAUCCAGCGGAAUUGACGUUACCGACAGAAUAAGCACCGGCUAACUCCGUGCCAGCAGCCGCGGUAA
rnacentral:rRNA from 1 species